AUUAAAAAAAAAAUAAAUAAAUAAAUUAACAUGGAUUGAGAACCAGUGAACUACCAGCAGCAAAGCCGUAGCCACUAUCUUUCUACCAAGAAAUGGCCGCCGCCUCCACCACCACCAGAACUCUCCUUCUCUUCUCCCCAUUCAGAACCUCCCUCACCUCUUCCUCUUCUUCUUAUUCUUUUCACAAUUUCCCAAAACUACCCUUCUCCUCUUUCAAAACCACCACCACCUCUACCUACACCUAUUGCUGCUACCACUCCUCCACACAAUCCCAAUCCCAAUCCCAAUCCUCUCCUUCUCCUCGCCUCAACAACAAAAGCAACAACAACGUCAUCGAAAUCCUCCAACAACGCGGCCUCAUCGAGUCCCUAACCAGCCCUGACCUCCACGACGCCGCCGCCGUUUCAUCCUCACCUCUCAAAGUUUAUUGCGGUUUCGACCCCACCGCUCAAUCCCUCCACCUCGGCAACCUCCUCGGCAUCAUCGUCCUCUCCUGGUUCCACCGCCUCGGCCACCAGCCCGUCGCCCUCAUCGGCGGCGCCACCGCUCGCGUCGGCGACCCCUCCGGCAAGUCCCUCGAGCGUCCCGACCUCGACCUCGACUCUCUCCGCCGCAACACUCUAGGGAUUGAGUCCACCAUCGCCAGAAUCCUCUCCGAAAACUCAGUCAUCCUCAACAACUACGAUUGGUGGAAGGAGGUCAAGCUGUUGGAUUUUUUGAAAGAUGUGGGGAAGUACGCUAGGGUUGGGACUAUGAUGGCGAAGGAGAGCGUGAAGAAGCGGUUGGAAUCGGAGCAAGGAAUGAGUUACACCGAGUUCACGUACCAACUGUUGCAAGGCUACGAUUUCUUGCAUUUGUACAAGAACGAGGGAGUUAGGGUUCAAAUCGGCGGUAGCGAUCAGUGGGGAAAUAUCACCGCCGGAACCGAAUUGAUUCGGAAGGUUUUGCAAGUAGAGAAAGGAGCGUACGGAUUGACAUUUCCUCUCUUGUUGAAGAGCGAUGGAACGAAGUUCGGGAAAUCGGAAGACGGCGCGAUUUGGUUAUCGCCGGCGAUGCUUUCUCCGUACAAGUUUUAUCAGUACUUCUUCUCGGUGCCGGACUCGGACGUAGUGAGGUUUUUGAAAAUGCUGACUUUUUUGGAGCUGGAGGAGAUUGAUGAGUUGGAGAGGGAGAUGGGGGGAGUAGGUUACGUGCCAAACACGGCACAGAGGAGACUGGCGGAGGAAGUUACGCGAUUCGUGCACGGGGAGGAAGGGUUGAUGGAGGCUAUAAAGGCAACAAAGGCAUUGAGGCCUGGGGCGGAGACGAAGCUGGAUUGGGAGACCAUUGAGGGGAUUGCAGAGGAUGUGCCAUCUUGUUCUUUGAAGUAUGAUCAGGUGGUGAAUGUUCAGCUCGUUGAGCUAUCGGUUUCUGCUGGUUUGUUUGAGAGCAAAUCGGCUGCAAGGCGGUUGUUGAAGCAGGGGGGUUUGUAUUUGAAUAACAGUAGAGUGGAUGGUGAGGAUAAGAGGAUUGAGGCCGAGGAUAUUGUCGAUGGGAAAGUUGUUCUUUUGUCUGCGGGAAAAAAGAACAAGGAAAAAGAGAUUGACCAGGAUGCUGGAAGCACCUAAGGUUGCAAAGUUUGGAUUGGUGAUUCCAAUUACAGGAUUAGGUUUCAUGCGGUUUUGCAAGCUCCAUCUGAUGUUUGGGUUGUUGUGAUCCUCUACAAAGAAGGGUACUUUAUGAGAGAUCUUAAUACUAAACUAAUUUUUCUUGAUGAGGAUUGUAGUGAUGUUUGUUGGAAGUUUCUGAUAGAAUCCCAGAACGUACAUGGCUGAUGUGAUUUUUGGAAGAGUUGGCAAAAAAAUAACCAGCAACAAAAUUUGUUAAGAUAAUAUCAACAAAUUGCAUUCCUAACUACCCUGAUCGUAAUCUUCCUACUUUGUUAGUGUAUAACAAUGGUGCAGUGAAAGCAAAUCAUGUGGGCUUGCAUAGUUUUGGCUGAGAUGCUCUCCUGAAGGUAUCUUGUAUUUAAGCACACUUUGCAUUGUCAUUAGUUUAUGUAUUACCUUGCUACUUCUUUUAAUCAAUUGUUAUUCUUUUAUAUGAGAUAUUUGCAUCUCCGUGUGAGGCCACUUCUACAUAUAUUCAAAAUCUAAGGUGCAUUCUUAUUUGCUUUGAGGCAGUGUCCGGCAUGAGGAUAAACUUUGGCAAAUUUGAAUCUGUGCCAGUAAAGGAGGUUCAGAAUAUUGAGGCGUUGUUGGGUGAUCCUGGAUGCUGUGUAUCCACCCUACCAAUGAAAUAUUUGGGGCUACCUCUUGGUGUAACAUUUAAAGAGGCAUCAAUUUGGGAUCAUGUGCAAAGAAGAUUAGCCGGUUGGAAGAAAUCGUAUCUAUCUAAAAGGGGUCAUCUCACUCUCAUCAAGAGUACUUUAUCUAGCCUCCCUACUUAUUUUAUGUCUUUGUUCUCUCUUCCAGUGGGUGUGGCAAAAAGAAUGGAGAAACUUCAAAGAGAUUUCCUUUGGCGUGGAUUGGGGGAGGAUUUUAAGUUUCAUCUAGUAGGAUGGGAGUCUUCCUGUAUUCCUAUUCGUCAAGGAGGUUUGGAUAUUAAGUGUUUAUGUCUUAUAAAAAAGCGUUAUCAGGCAAGUGGUUGUGGCGCUAUGGAUCUGAGGAAGAGGCCUUAUGGUGUCAGGUAGUGGAUGUGAAAUACGGGUUAGGCACUUGAUGUUCAAAGGAAGUAAGGGGUCAUAUGGAGUGGGCCUAUGGAAAUACAUUCAGAGAGGGUGGGAUAGUUUUAUGCAUUUUACACAUUUUGAUGUAGAGGAGUUCCUUGAGUUUAUGGACUCGCGGUGCACUAGAUAAUUGUUUUGUUUUCUUUAGCUCUCUUUUCUUGUAUACCCUGUACUAGAUCUGGGUUUUUUGUUUUUUAUUUAUUUAUUUUAUUUUCAUCAGGUGAUGCUAAUUAAGCUACAAAGCUCUUAGCAAUUUAAGUUAUUUCUAAACAUGAUAUUAGUUGACAUUUACUGUUGUAAACUGGAAAUUAAUCUUUCUUUUGUAGAUGUUUUUA